rnacentral:rRNA from 1 species
UACGUAGGGUGCAAGCGUUGUCCGGAAUUAUUGGGCGUAAAGAGCUCGUAGGCGGUUUGUCGCGUCCGCUGUGAAAAUCCAGGGCUUAACCCUGGACCUGCAGUGGGUACGGGCAGACUAGAGUGCGGUAGGGGGGAUCGGAAUUCCUGGUGUAGCGGUGAAAUGCGCAGAUAUCAGGAGGAACACCAGCGGCGAAGGCGGCGCUCUGGGCCGGAACUGACGCUGAGGAGCGAAAGCUAGGGGAGCAAACGGG